GACGAACGCUGGCGGCGUGCUUAACACAUGCAAGUCGAACGGUAAGGCCCUUCGGGGUACACGAGUGGCGAACGGGUGAGUAACACGUGGGUGAUCUGCCCUGCACUUCGGGAUACGCCUGGGAAACUGGGUCAAAUACCGGAUAGGACCACUGCCUGCAUGGGCGGUGGUGGAAAGCGUUUGCGGUGUGGGAUGGGCCCGCGGCCUAUCAGCGUGUUGGUGGGUUGAUGGCCUACCAAGGCGACGACGGGUAGGCGGCCUGAGAGGGUGACCGGCCACACUGGGACUGAGAUACGGCCCAGACUCCUACGGGAGGCAGCAGUGGGGAAUAUUGCACAAUGGGCGCAAGCCUGAUGCAGCGACGCCGCGUGAGGGAUGACGGCCUUCGGGUUGUAAACCUCUUUCAGCACCGACGAAGCGCAAGUGACGGUAGGUGCAGAAGAAGGACCGGCCAACUACGUGCCAGCAGCCGCCGCGG
rnacentral:rRNA from 1 species